UACGGAGGGUGCAAGCGUUGUCCGGAUUCAUUGGGCGUAAAGAGUGUGUAGGCGGAAUGGUAAGUCGGAAGUGAAAUCUCUACCGCUUAACGGAGAGUGGUCUUUCGAUACUGCCAAUCUAGAGUGCAGGAGAGGGUGAUGGAAUUCCUGGUGUAGCGGUGGAAUGCGUAGAUAUCAGGAAGAACACCGGUGGCGAAGGCGGUCACCUGGCCUGCCACUGACGCUGAGACACGAAAGCGUGGGUAGCAAACAGGAUUAGAUACCCCCGUA
rnacentral:rRNA from 1 species